UAACCGUCCAGUCUACAGAAUAUCACAGGCUCUACUUUUGUGUCAAUUUAAAAUGAGGAUACAGAAAAUGAAGGCAAAGGGAAACUGUUGACAAUCCUUUGAAGUCAUGAAUAUACAAGAGCAUGAAUAAGAGAAGAAAAGAUGGAAGAUAAAAAGCAGAAGGGUGCUGGAGAUAUAAUGGUGAAUAAUGUUGCAAUAUGCCCAGUCUUCAUGGAAUCAACAGUCCAGUGGGGAAGGCAGAUAAGUGAGCAUAUUCCUUCUACUUACAGAAAAAGUCAACUGUAAAACAGCCUCAGGCAGGUCUUUCAGGAGAUAUUCCAGAAGGCAUUGUUAUCAUACAAAAUGAUAGCUCCAUGAGUAUCAUUUUCCCUGAAGACCAGUGGGACAAGAUGAGGAGAUGGAAGACAGUGAUAUGGAUGAUCCUGAACCUGAGACUGUAUAGGCCUAGGCUAAUGCAUGUGUUUGUGUCUUCGUUUUUAACUAAAAGCUUAAAAAGUAAGAAAAAUAAAAAUAAAACAUUUGAAAAUACAAAAAUCAUAUAGAAUUAAGGACAUAAGAAUAUUUUCGAACAGCUGUACAAUGUAUGUGUGUUUUAAGCUAAAUGUUAUUGCAAAAGAGCCAAAAGUUUUUUUAAAAAGUUUA
rnacentral:lncRNA from 1 species